UUGAACGCUGGCGGCAGGCCUAACACAUGCAAGUCGAACGGUAACAGGGAUCAGCUUGCUGAUUCGCUGACGAGUGGCGGACGGGUGAGUAAUGUCUGGGAAACUGCCUGAUGGAGGGGGAUAACUACUGGAAACGGUAGCUAAUACCGCAUAACGUCGCAAGACCAAAGAGGGGGACCUUCGGGCCUCUUGCCAUCGGAUGUGCCCAGAUGGGAUUAGCUAGUAGGUGGGGUAACGGCUCACCUAGGCGACGAUCCCUAGCUGGUCUGAGAGGAUGACCAGCCACACUGGAACUGAGGCACGGUCCAGACUCCUACGGGAGGCAGCAGUGGGGAAUAUUGCACAAUGGGCGCAAGCCUGAUGCAGCCAUGCCGCGUGUAUGAAGAAGGCCUUCGGGUUGUAAAGUACUUUCAGCGGGGAGGAAGGGAGUAAAGUUAAUACCUUUGCUCAUUGACGUUACCCGCAGAAGAAGCACCGGCUAACUCCGU
rnacentral:rRNA from 1 species